UACGUAGGGUCCGAGCGUUGCCCGGAUUUAUUGGGCGUAAAGAGCUCGUAGGCGGUUCCGUAAGUCGGAUGUGAAAACUCGGGGCUCAACCCCGAGACGCCAUCCGAUACUGCGGUGACUUGAGUCUGGUAGGGGAACACGGAAUUCCUGGUGUAGCGGUGAAAUGCGCAGAUAUCAGGAGGAACACCGAUGGCGAAGGCAGUGUUCUGGGCCAGUACUGACGCUGAGGAGCGAAAGCGUGGGGAGCAAACAGG
rnacentral:rRNA from 1 species